ACUCAAAGGAAUUGACGGGGGCCCGCACAAGCGGCGGAGCAUGUGGAUUAAUUCGAUGCAACGCGAAGAACCUUACCUGGGUUUGACAUGCACCAGGCGCUCUCGGAGACGGGGGUUCCCUUGUGGUUGGUGUGCAGGUGGUGCAUGGCUGUCGUCAGCUCGUGUCGUGAGAUGUUGGGUUAAGUCCCGCAACGAGCGCAACCCUUGUUCCAUGUUGCCAGCGGGUGAUGCCGGGGACUCAUGGGAGACUGCCGGGGUCAACUCGGAGGAAGGUGGGGAUGACGUCAAGUCAUCAUGCCCCUUAUGUCCAGGGCUUCACACAUGCUACAAUGGCCUAUACAGAGGGCUGCGAGACCGUGAGGUGGAGCGAAUCCCUUAAAGUGGGUCUCAGUUCGGAUCGGGGUCUGCAACUCGACCCCGUGAAGUUGGAGUCGCUAGUAAUCGCAGAUCAGCAACGCUGCGGUGAAUACGUUCCCGGGCCUUGUACACACCGCCCGU
rnacentral:rRNA from 1 species